GAUCCUGGCUCAGGAUGAACGCUAGCUACAGGCUUAACACAUGCAAGUCGAGGGGCAGCGGGAAGUCAGCUUGCUGACUUUGCCGGCGACCGGCGCACGGGUGAGUAACACGUAUCCAACCUUCCCGUUACUCUGGAAUAGCCUUUCGAAAGAAAGAUUAAUACCGGAUAGUAUCGAGAGAUUGCAUGAUUACCCGAUUAAAGAUUCAUCGGUAACGGAUGGGGAUGCGUUCCAUUAGGCAGUUGG
rnacentral:rRNA from 1 species